rnacentral:misc_RNA from 1 species
CGUGCUCGCGCAUCGAACUACUUACCACCUAUCCUUCUCAGUUGCCUCACGGGUGAUGUUACACUCGAUGAUCGGAUCAAGGGUCUGUGUUGCGUACCUAAGUAAAGGGUAUUGGUGAGUUGGAUUUCCCCCGUUGUUCUUGGCUCUCCUUCGAUGGGGAUGUCGAGGACACAAAAUUCGGCGCUUGUUUUCCUUUCGACUUGGCAUCUGUUGCCUUGUGCGCAUUGGUGAACGAGCUGUCGGUCGAAAUCUUGGAUGCGGAAAAGUUAUCGACGGUGAUUCGAAGUAAUUCAGUCCCGCUAAAGCACUUCUGUCCCUCGGGCUAAAGAUGACGGUCAAGACCUCGUCCUUUCUCUCUUUCCUUAGCGUUUGCGGGAUUGUGGCGAGGAAUUGCCGUGAUCGAUGAAUGCUACC